ensembl:snRNA U6 U6 spliceosomal RNA
AUGCUCACUUCAGCACAUACAUCUUAAACUGAAAUGAUACAGAGAAGAUCAGCCUGGCCCCCGAGCAUGGGUGACAUGCAAAUUCAUGAGACAGCGCAUAGUUUU